UCAGGAUGAACGCUAGCUACAGGCUUAACACAUGCAAGUCGAGGGGUAACAGGAGAGAAGCUUGCUUUCUUGCUGACGACCGGCGCACGGGUGAGUAACGCGUAUCCAACUCCCUAGUAGCGGAUAGCCCGGCGAAAGUCGGAUUAAUACGCUAUGUUCUUCGUUGAUGGCAUCUGAUGUGAAGCAAAGAUUUAUCGCUAAGGGAUGGGGAUGCGUCUGAUUAGGUAGUCGGCGGGGUAACGGCCCACCGAGCCAUCGAUCAGUAGGGGUUCUGAGAGGAAGGUCCCCCACACUGGUACUGAGACACGGACCAGACUCCUACGGGAGGCAGCAGUGAGGAAUAUUGGUCAAUGGGCGCGAGCCUGAACCAGCCAAGUAGCGUGCAGGAAUGACUGCCCUAUGGGUUGUAAACUGCUUUUAUCAGGGAAUAAAGUGAGGCACGUGUGCCUUUUUGUAUGUACCUGAUGAAUAAGGACCGGCUAAUUCCGUGCCAGCAGCGGC
rnacentral:rRNA from 1 species